UACGUAGGGACCAAGCGUUGUUCGGAUUUACUGGGCGUAAAGGGCGCGUAGGCGGCAAUUCAAGUCAUCUGUGAAAUCUCCGGGCUUAACCCGGAACGGUCAGAUGAUACUGCUUUGCUAGAGUGCGGAAGGGGCAAUCGGAAUUCUUGGUGUAGCGGUGAAAUGCGUAGAUAUCAAGAGGAACACCUGAGGUGAAGACGGGUUGCUGGGCCGACACUGACGCUGACAGCGCGAAAGCAAGGGGAGCAAACGGG
rnacentral:rRNA from 1 species